rnacentral:tRNA from 1 species
GUUGUAGCUCAGUGGUACUGUACUUGCCUCGUAUGCAUGAAGCCCUGGGUUUGAUUCUCAGCAUCACA